AUAUGUUGUAUGUAAACGUUUUUCAACUGUUAGAUACAGCAGCUUAAAAAAAAUUGUAGUCUUAGCAAGAAUCAUUUAUUUACAUAUUAAAUAAAUUCGACCCAUUCACGAUCAGAUGCUUUGACACCAGAACAAAUGUUAGCAACAAGUUUAAGAUUUUUUGGUGAAAGAACAUAUUAUGACGUUGGCACGGAUUUUCAUUCACCUUUUGGGCAGUCAACAUUCUUUAUACUCUAAGAAACAUUGUGUGCUAAAUGGAUAUCCUUAGAAGAUAUGUGAACUUUAAAAAUUGAAGAACCCUAGAUGCAUGUCCAGAAAAAAAAAAACAGAAUUUAUGCGUUGAUGGAACUCAUGUACAAAUUAUUGCUUCUAAAGAUGACAAACAUUUGUUUUACAACAGGAAGGGAUACUGAUACUAUUCCCUUAAUGUUCUUAUUGAAAUAUUUGCGAUUAGAAAAUGUGAAUUCGAGGUGUAAAUGCGAAGUUCCAAGGCAUUUUCCAUAUAAUAUAUGGAAUAUCAGUCCACAAAGACGUUAAUUCGAACAAAAGUACCUAAACGGGGUUUGAAAUGAAUAUGUUUAAGAGAUGCUGAAUAUCCACUGGAACCUUGGUUGCUGACUCCUUUUAGGAGACCAAGUCCAAAUAGCCACUAAAUGCGAUACAAACAAGCCUCAUUGGAAAACUGGAAACGUCCGUCGUGGGAAAAAUGAUUGAAUUGCUUAAAAACAGAUUUCGAUGUUUGUUUUCAGCAUAAGCAGCUUCGUUUUUGUUUGCGCCCAUUAAUUGCUAUUGCUGUUUUUUAUAAAAUUUAUCUUUUUAAUAAACCUCACUGCGCAUCACAAAAAUUAAAUUGUGUCUUCA